GUUUAGAAUUUAGACUUAUGGUUUGAACAUAUUUUAUUGAUAAAAUUCAGGCUUACGAAAUAUUGAUUUAAAAACAAUUGUACGUUUGUUAUAUUAUUAAGUAUAAUUAACAUUAUGAUCAAAUUACGAAUGGUCUGCUGCAUGCUCUCGCCAAGUACAUAAUGUAUAUGUUUUUUGAUUACGUAAGUACAAAUUUGCAAAACUUUCCAAACUUUAAAAGUGCUUUCAUUUUUGUAAAACCAGCAUUUCCCAACGCUUUUCGAGUUAUACAUCAAUUAUGACUACCGCAUAAAGGAGAUGUUACCAUUACUUACCAAAUUGCAAAUUAAUUCACAGUUUAAUAAAGUCGGGAUCAUCAUAGCUAUGAUUCAGCUGGUGAUCUACGUGUACUUUUAUCCAAUGUGAACUGACUUCGAUCACAUAUGAAGUUUACAGCACAUGUGUAUUUGUGUUUGAUAUUAAUCAUGUUUUAAAUCGAAUCGUUUGUAAGUUUUAUGUGGACACAUUUACUUUCUCCUCAAAGGUUGAUAUGAUAUUUGAAGUAUAAAACGAGAAAUAAAAAUUCGUGUAUAUGAUUUUAUUUGGGUGAUUUUAGAAAUAUUUCAUACUGAUUGUGAUUGGUUACAUAUAUUGAUCAUAAAAGACUCCCGAUCACUUAUUCCUAACAUAAGUGAGAAGAAUUAAAAGUGUUUGUCAGUGGAAUGUAUAGUCACAGAAUCAUAUUGACGUAACGCUUGCUAUUUUUAUCACAUAAUGACCCUGUACAGAGUGUUUGGAUACUAUGCUACUGUGGUCGGUCUACUAUCUACAGUGUCCUAUGCCUUGAUCAUGAUAAAUACCCUGAGGAAGAUUCUUCUCAUGCUGAUUAUGAAGGAAUGAAUUUAUUUUUGAAAUAAUUUUGUUAUCCAAGAGCAUACAAGAAAAAGAGAUUAUCACCAAGAUUAUUUUGUUUCAAAUGUGAAAGAAAAAUGAGUUUCAAGAAGUUUCAUGCAAAUUGAUACUGAUCUGAUAAUUAACUAAUUCGAAGUGAUAAUUCAUUUGGAAAUAUUUUGAAACGUUGAUUUGUUUUAUGUCUACUGACAUUUGCAUAUGAAUAUGGCGAUGGUGUUGUGUUUACCAUUAGUAUUCAAGCGCCAUAACAUGUCAUGUAAAGUACAAGUAUUGUUAUCCAAGCAAUGUAUUGAAUAUGAAAUGUAUGCUCGCAUCGUUUGAAGAGUUUGCGAUCAUCGGUGUAAGUACGUGUUCCGAAAGAUCUCAAUAUAUUCAUAUUUCCUCCUUGAAAAUCAUAUUCUCAUAUCCAGCCGUAUAUCUAUUAUGUAAUAUAUAUUCAUUUACAUAAUUGUUACGAAAAAUUCCAAACGCGUUGAUUUGGGAGCUCAUUAAUUGAAUUCAUAAUAAUCAAUCAUAUUUUACCAUUCAUCGAAUGCCUAAGUAACAUGUUUUGUGACAGAUUGAUUUGAGAGCUGGUAAAUUGAAGCUUAAAAACUUGAUUCACCACAAUAAAGAUUUUUCAUUGUAAAUACUGAAAAUGGUGGUUAACCUUUAUACACAUGAAACAAAUCUCCGUAAACUAACUUGUCAUGAAAAAGGGAAAAAAUCUGUCUGUGACUGUCUAUUGGUUUUUUUUUAGGAUUAAGUCAUGAUACCAUUAGCAUUAACAAUAUUGAACUAGAUUGUGGUAGCAAAGCAUUAGUAUGGUUCUUUUUCCCUAGAAUUCCAAACAUUUGACUAAAUGCGCAUCUCAUUUGCAGAGGAUAGAAACCUAUGGUAUUUGACUAAAUGCGCAUCUCAUUUUCAGAGGAUAGAAACCUAUGGUAUUUGACUAAAUGCGCAUCUCAUUUUCAGAGGAUAGAAACCUAUGGUAUUUGACUAAAUGUGCAUCUCAUUUUCAGAGGAUAGAAACCUAUGCUAUUUGGUUUUGUUUGUUUCAUGCCAAUGGAGUACAACUUUAAGUUACCCAGAUUUAAUACUAUUGAUUGUAUUUCAUAUUGUAGAGGGUGUAUAAAAAGAGAAUAAAAGAGGCCCUUUCAAUCCUGAAUCAACCCAAAUUCUCUGAUUUCCAGUUUGGAAAUAUCAAAAUUUUUGUUGAAGAAGUAACUGUCUAAAAGAUAACAAAGAUAACAAGUUAAUAGAAAAUACAGAUUCUUUGAUGUAUCAAACUUGCUGCUUGACACUGAAUAUGAUGAAAAGUGGUCCAUGCUGUAAAUACGGAUUUCUGGAUCAUCUGCUGCACUGACUACACCUAACGACAUUGGCUGAACUGACGCAAUCUGUGCAGUUUUACUGGGUAUAUGGACAUCGGCUGCCUUGUAUAAGGUUGUGGAACCUGUUGCCAGAGGACACCAUCAAGGCAGAAUUCUCAGAGCACAGAAGCUAAAGGUUUGUGCUACAAUAAUGGAGUUUGUGAUUGCAGCAAUGAUUGCAAUAUAGCUCUUUCUUGGAAACCAGAAGGCAAACAAAAAAGAGGAAGACCAAAAACCACCAGAAGAAGUGGAGGAGAGGGCAGAUAAUGGAUGGUCACCUUGGGCUGAGGGGAGGGUUGCAGGUGCAAAACAGAGAUGGUUGGUGACGUUCUGUGGACGUCUUGUGUGUCGCACAAAGCGGAUAUGUAACAGAUUUGAAGAAAGAAGAUAUUAUAUGGAUGCUGCUUUCACUCGGACUCAGUUGAUGCUAGUCAGUUAUCCAUACACUUAUGCAGAUGAUGUGCCUGAUGAACCAAUGUGUACAAAUUAACAAAGUUUGAUUGUAUUUCAAAAUUGCAUGAUCCUUUGUAUGCUUUUUCCAAUUGGACAUACCAGAUAUUUGUCAAUAGUGGUAUGCAGCAUCAGCAAUUACAAAAGAUCUCUAUGAAGCAUCUGCUAUUUCUCCAUCAAUAUCUGCAUCUGAGCAUUCAUGCAUUAAGAGUUAUUCAUGCAUCAAAGGGCAGUGAAUAUAUGGUUUUGAUAUCAACAUGUACAUGUAAAGGCGAAGAUAAUGAACAGUGAUCAAUCUCAUAACUCCUAUAAAAAAUACAAAAUAGAGAGUUGGGCAUACACGGACUCCUGGACAUACAGGGGUGAGUGAGAUCUGGUGCCUAGGAGGAGUAACCAUCCCCAUUCGACUGGUCACACCCACCAUGAGUCCUAUAUUAUUUAUUUAAACUAUAUUUUAUUCACAAAGUGAAUGGAUCGAACAGCAGGCAUAGCCUAUUUAAGCCCUCUCCCUAAGUCCUAUACAUUAGUAUCUCGAUCAGUAAAGGGAGUAAUCAGUAGUCAAAACCAGUGUGUAAAGAACAUGUUAGACAGCAUAUUACCCAAU